UUAUGUUUUUAAAGUUAUUCCUUCUUUAUUUUUUUAAUCACAGCAAUCCUCCCCUCAUCCAUGGUUUCAUUUUCUAUGGUUCCAGUUACUCAUGGUCAACCAUGGUCAGAAAACAGGACAAACUGAGAGUAAAAGAUGCAGGAAUAAAACACAGAAAUCAAAAUAAAGGGUUUACUGCUGAAAAAUCCGCUUGAACAAGCCUGUUAAUGUGAUCUUCCUGAAUGAAGCCAGCUUACCCCUAGGCCUCCACUGUCCCUCAGGAAAGAGAACACGAAAACUGGAACUCUCUGCAGAAAGGAGGAUCCCAAAGAAGGGGCCAAGCUGUACAUUUAUCAAUCAGGAAAGCCACUCCACCCUCCAUGGCAGCCCCUACAAUUUGAAACAAGUAUUCUUCCUAACAUAACACAUUAAUUCAUGAGUUUAUCAGUUCAUUUCAUUUUUACUUUGAGAUUUUUGUGAAUAACCAUAGAAAAAUCUAUUUCACCUGGCAAUAAAUAGGAAAAGGCACAGCAUAAUGUUUAAAUACAGAGAAUAUUGUUACAUGUAAGAUGUUGAUUGAAUGUUCUAAAUACAAUUUGAAAACUGCGUGAGAGGAGGAAAACGUAUAUUCAGAAGGACUUAGGUGAAUCCAGAUGAAUAUUUUCAUGACAGGAUGUUGGCUAUUGAUAUGAAGAAAGUAGAGGAAUAGACUUGCUAAAAGUUAGAGGAGUCUAGUUUAUCUUCCAAGAAGCUUUGCAACCCUGUAAUACUGUAGAAAUCACAAAUUUGGCAAUAAUUUUAAGAUAAUUUAUGUUCAUUUUUUAUGGAAUGCCAUGUUUAUCUUUUUAUAUAUGACAUUUUCUGGUCAGUAGUAAUAUAUAUAUCCUUUAUUAAAAUUGGAAAAUAAAUACAAACAUUUUAUUUAUUUAUUGGUUAAAAAAUUAUUAUGCUCAUUCUUUUUUUUUUUAACCAGUAAGGAUCUGGAUAAAGAAAAACAUUUUAGAAAACCACUUGUAGAGUACCAUGAACCAGUCUCUCUUCUCCAUUUUAAAAAAUUUAUUGACUCACUUUUUUUCCAUAACUUUUUGAGAUAUUAUUUCAACCACUUUGCAUUUAGAGAAAAAGAGUCAGAGAGUGAUUAAGAAAUCUGCCCAAUGCUAUACUGAUAGAAGCUGGGAGAACUGGGAUUUGAGCUUACAUAGGCUAGUUCUAGCAUUUGUGAAGUUCUCGCCUAAUAAAAAUUAUCUGUAAUCAUAACCAGAGCAAGUCAUUUCUAACCUCCUGUCUAUAGACACGCGGAUACAUUUGUAAUGUUUUUGUUUGUUUGUUUUUAGCACGACAGAUCAAUUCCUGCUGGCAUUAUAGUUCUUUAACUAUCAUAGCUUCUCUGAUUUUUCAACACAUCUGUCAUCCGUAUUCUGCAGGCAUAGCCAACUCUGUCAGUGUCUCCUCAGGCAAUCAGAAUCAACAGACAGAAUGUAGGACAGAAAACUGGCUGCAAACAUGUUGGAAGGGCUGGAGGAGCGAAAGAGGGAAGAUCUGUUACCUAGAGAUAGUAACUUCCAGAAGUUACCACUAUACUAGUGCAGGAGAAGCAGAAAGGAAGAUGCUGCUACCCAGAGCCCACAGUCAUUGUGCCCCUGAUGCCGCUGGAACCCCACUGCAGCUGCUUUACAGGAAGCAGGGAAUUAGCGCUCUUGCUGAUGCUACAGGUAUCCAGGAUCCAAAAGUCAUCAGCCGCUGUCCCUGUUGCAGCCUAGGGAAACUGUCCCACUGAGGUUGUUGGGGUACCUGCUACUGCAUCUACUGUCUGAACCAUGUUGCCUGAGCAGAUGUCCAGGGCUCAGGCUUGCCUGCUGCUGUUACUGCUGCCACCAUGUUUAUCAGAGCUACUUCAAGAAGAGAAGAAAUCCUCCUCAUUUCCAGUUUUUUCCAGUGCCUCCCAUUGCUUCCCAGAAUGCCAAAUUCUCUUUGAGAGACAGCUGAAAGGAAGGUUUGGAAAAGACUCUGGUGUAAGCAGAUUCUGCUUCCCUGCAAUAGGGGGAAAGCAUAGGGUGGAACUGGAGCUGAGAGCUAAUCACGAAUGAGCAAAUCAGUCUUCAAGACAUUUACCUUUCCUUGAAACGUUUCCCUUCUUUUACCGUGUUUUCCAUGUCAUUAUUUUUCCACAAUUCUGCAUCAUAUUCUGUUAACUAUUAAUGCCCUGGAUAAGUUUAUUUGCUCUUUCUUAGGGUUAAUUUUUCUCCUUUUCUUCGAAGCUUUAGUUUGCAGGUUCAGCUUGUGUGGGAAUUUUCAUCUCCCUCCUCUUCAAGACUCCUUGGAUAUCAGUUUUUUGGUUGCCUUCACCAACUCUCCCCCCACCAUCUCUAGACCAGGGCAUGGUCUUAGUUGGUGGCUUGGACUCCUGUGGCUUGGAGUCUUUGGGGAUAUUAGAGAUCCAGUCACUGAGCUGGCAAAGGGAACACUGUCCUUGCUUCCAGCUUUAUGAAGAACGCUUUGCUCUGUCACCCCACGUGAGUCCAACUCUUGGCUGCCUACACUGCCUGAGGCUUCAGUUCUGGCAUCGUGCUGCAUGUGAUCUAUUAUCCUGCUUUUGAAUAUGCCUAUGACUUUUCUUUAUAUAUUUUUAAAAAUGUUAUUAUUGGUAUGUUUACAGUGAAGGGAAGAAUGUGAAGCAUGAACUCAAGAGUCACAGUAAUGAUAAAUUUUAAUGAUUGUAAUUGUCCUAUCUGUCAUAAUACAUUUAUUUUGUUGAUUUGUUUGGAUUUUCUAGGUAAAUAAUCAUGUUAUUCAAGGAUAAUGAAUGCAGCCACCAUGUAAUCAUCACUGACUCCAUGGCCAUGAGAAAAGAGACCUAAGAAAUGAUGCCCAUCCAGAAGAGUGAAGACUUCCUGAAAAUGUUCUUUUAACCUAAGAUGUAGGUUAAGAGGAGUGAAAAAAUGUUCUGUUUCUGACUGAUGAUGGAGCAACAAAGAUCCUAAGAGCGAUCCCGCAAUUCAUUCAUCUUGAAUAGACUCAUAGAGCUUCAAGAGUGGGCUUCUGAAGCCCACUCCAACUCCAUUCUUGUUCCUUGGUCCCUCUGGAGCUGGUCUGGCCCCUAAGGAUGUGAGCCAAAGGUUUCUAAAUGUUUGAUGAGUUCCAGAGUGUUUGAGUUAAUUUUUGUUGAUGCACUGACAGUUG
rnacentral:lncRNA from 1 species